UCUAAUGUGGCAGACAAGUGCAUUGGAUUUAAGCUCCAAAUAUAAAGUCCAAGACUUUCAUUAGAACUAA
rnacentral:tRNA from 1 species